UACGAAGGAUCCAAGCGUUAUCCGGAUUUAUUGGGCGUAAAGAGCUCGUAGGCGGCUCGUCGCGUCGGCUGUGAAAACCCGCAGCUCAACUGUGGGCUUGCAGCUGAUACGGGCGGGCUAGAGUUCGGUAGGGGAGACUGGAAUUCCUGGUGUAGCGGUGAAAUGCGCAGAUAUCAGGAGGAACACCGGUGGCGAAGGCGGGUCUCUGGGCCGUAACUGACGCUGAGGAGCGAAAGCAUGGGGAGCGAACAGG
rnacentral:rRNA from 1 species